CAGUCGCCGCGGGAAUACAGAGGGUGCGAGCGUUAAUCGGAUUUACUGGGCGUAAAGCGUGCGUAGGCGGCUAAUUGAGUCGGAUGUGAAAUCCCCGAGCUUAACUUGGGAAUUGCAUUCGAUACUGGUUAGCUAGAGUGUGGGAGAGGAUGGUAGAAUUCCAGGUGUAGCGGUGAAAUGCGUAGAGAUCUGGAGGAAUACCGAUGGCGAAGGCAGCCAUCUGGCCUAACACUGACGCUGAGGUACGAAAGCAUGGGGAGCAAACAGGAUUAGAGACCCCGGUAGUCCCUGUCUCUUAUAC
rnacentral:rRNA from 1 species